AAGCAUUUCUUUGUUGGACCAAAACACAGUUGGAUAGCCUGUUUUCGGACCCUUUGGAUGGGUGGGUUUUCUCCGGGUCGUCCGCUUUUUCUCCCGCAUUCCAAAAAGAUGCACGGCAGCCUCAAGGAACACAUAUUGUCCCCCAGGUGUGAUUCUGAGGGCAAACGGUUGUUUGUCAACGUUCAGGAUGUACCCCGCCGACUGCCCGCAGAUAACUGGGAUCGGUUCUGGCGCGCCCCCGAUCCUCGUGAGGAUUGGCGGAUUAGAAACUGGAUGGAUGGAUAUUAGGGACAGAAAUCCAUCCAUGAGCUACAGCUGGCCAAGACAGCCACUGCAGUGGAAUUGGCGUUUCCCCCACCCCCCAAAAAAGGCCCGUUUGCGUUGACAAAACAUGGCGGAUGGGAGAGCACGCGCCGCAGAGACUGUGUAGUGUGCUGACAGCAGCCAUUUCAGUCGCUUCAACUCCAGGCAUCAUAUUCUUUAAAAAAAAAAAAGAAAAAAAAAAGACAACCCAUUGACAAAAACAAGGUCCCAAAAACAGACUUGGCGGGCAGAGAACCCAAAAGCUGUGGCGGUGAGACCAUCUGUUGUUGAAACGUUCUUUCAUUCAGUCACUUUUUUUUUCUUUAAAUAAUCCGACGAUGCUCCUCUGAUCUUGAUGUCAUUUUGACCCACUUUCCAAAGUGCACAUUUUACUGUCCGUUUCUGACGGCGGCUUAGCUUUGGAGUGACUUUUUCCCUCUUUGGAAGAACAUGCACUACAGCGGAUGCUCAGAAGUUGCCACUAAAAAUGAUUUCGGCAAGUACGUCUUUUCACUAAGGUCCACUAACUUUUGCUUUGGAUGCCAACAUUUUAACGAUGGGAAAUGUAACUUUUCUAACAUUGUACUUGCCCUUCCUCAGUUAGCCACUUAUUUCCCCACUACUGUGACUUAAGUUUUAUUUCUAUCCUGUGAGCAUUGCUGAAUAAAUGUUUUUAUACAUA